CACUCUAUCCAUUAUCAUCCAACUUUCACUUCACUAUUGUGCUCUGAUAUUACUAAUAUCAAUAGAUUAUAUUAGUCAGAUGCCUGAUCAGAAAAGUACUGGACCUGAAAUUCUUUUUUCAAUUUUUAUUAUAGGACAGUGGAGAGAGACAGGAAAGUGGGGAGGACCUGCAGCAAAGGGCCAUGGACUCGAGCCCAUGACCACUGCGUUGGGGACUAUAGCCCUUGUUUAUGGGUCACCUGCUCAACCAGUUGAGCUAACGGGGACACAGCAAGGACCUUAAAUGCAGAAGGACCCAUAGAUUAAUUCAAUCACUGUAUGUUGUAGUUGUAGACUUUUCUGAAGAGCCGGACGUAAAACUGAAAAUGGCAUGGAUUAACCUCAUCAUUGGAGUGAUAUGCAGUUAACAGUUACUGGCAAACGCAUUUUUGCAUCAGUGUGGGGCAAAGAAAACAACAUAAACAAUUAACAGAUAGUAACAACAGUCUGUAACAUUAGUUCACGCCAUUUUAUCACUAAUACAUGGCUGUUACAGUAAACAUAAAAUGGUCAGAUAACAAUGUUAGAUGACACAUGGUGUAACAUUACCAUACCACAACAGCAGAGGUGCAGAAAUUACUUUGUACACAGGAGCAAUGAAAGAACAUUUAGAAAAACAAUUUUAGCCAACUACCAGUACUAACAGAAUGCGUGUUGAUCAUCCUAACAGCCUGUGUCAUGCUUGGCUGAGAACAAACAGUAAACAGGAUGGUCUGUCUGUCGCUGCAGUCAAAGCGCUCCAGGAUGCUUCCUCUUCAACUGCUUCUGCAGCAGUUGUGCGGGUGUGAUCAGCCAGUUUCUGCUUGCAGUGCUCACACAGCAUCACAGCGUUGAGUCUCUGUCUAAAAUACUCACACAUUUUAGAUGAACAUGGGUGCGGUGUUGCUGCAGCUUGUUCUCCAGAGGAAUUCAUGCUCUGACUGGCCGCCGUUGUCGUCAUCGAGGACGUCAUUACGUUAUUGAGUCGACCCAGCCGGACUGCAGCCACUGUCAUUUAAUUUUAGGAUUUUUAUGCCUCCAAAAAGUUUAAACGAACAACUUCAAAAUCAACACUGUACUUCCUGUGGUCCCCCAGCAAGUUUGAAGCAGAGCAGAUGAACAGUUGUUGGGAAAUUUAAAAAAUAGAUUUACAUUCCUCAGUUUAAUAGUGAGCUGCUAUAGUGCAACCUGGCACUUUAUUUAAAUCUAUGUUUAGUGUAGUCAAGCUACAGUGCUGUGUUUGAUGUUAGGUUUGUUAACUAGUUAACUAUUAUAAAGUAAAACCUUUAUUUGUAGAUGGUAGAGAUAGACAAGGAAUGUGGUAAGAGAAGGAAAAUAAAUGACAUCUUGUAGGACUCCUUUGAAAGCAAGGAGUCUGCUGCUAACCAUUUGAUCCUGCUGAUCAGGUUGCCUGGGUACUUUAUAAAGUUCUCAGCCUCAACAGGAAACAAGCAAACAGCAACCACUUUUGGGCGUAACAGUAUACUAUGAAGCCUAAAUCACUGUCCACAAAAACAUAAAUGUUUGAAGCAAUCAAAGUAAAAAGCAUAGAAAGCUUUGAACUGGUUUGUUGUUGCUCCAGAACAAUAUGUCCGUCCACAAUGCUCAGGCAGCAGAAGCAGCUAAAUGUGGUUUUGAACUGUUGUUCCAUUAAACUUACUCACCAACCUGCAUUAUCUGACUUCUAUCAGUUUUCCAAACUGAAAUUGCACUUGUGCUGUCAUCAUUUUCAGAGUGAUGAUGAAGCCAUCAAUGCUUUUGAGGAGUAACUGGAGGCUCAAGAUGUGACCGUCUUUCUAUGAAGGGAUAGUGAAGCUCGAACAUCUGUUGACCAAGUGCAUUGAAGUUAAGUGAGAGUACAUUGAAGAAUAAUAUAAGACCAAUAAAUCUGUUGUGAAAUUUUCUACUGAGGCUGGGAACUUCUUAAAGUAUCCCCGUAUCAUUUGGGUUGAGUUCGAGUGCGAUGCCAAGUUCAGGACCCAGUUUUAAACCUGUGAAGAACUCUGAAGAACCGACUGUGUAUUUAUCGUAUCACCACUUCUCUUCUUGGGUCUUGUGAAGAAUUUCCAUUUGCUGGUAUAGUGAAAGCUCUUUAACAGACCUCGAGCGAAGAAUAAUUUAUUGCAGAUGUUAUUCCCAAGGUCAAGAAUCAAUCUCCAUGCUCAAAUAAACAGUACUGUAUAGCAUUAUAUCCUUAUUUUGACAGGACAAAUGUUUUUAUCCCUAAUACUAUUGCAGUCACUAUCCUGUGAUUUAUGUAUUUCAAAAUGAAAACAAAACAAUAAAUAUCUUUUCCGUCAAAAAGUGUAUUAUCAAACCAACUGUAUAAUCAUCUACAUUGUCAAGCCUAUGUUACCCAAAUAUCGAAUCUCUUGCCGUGAGGAAAUUAGCAUUUAAAUUGGACAACAUCCUUUCAUGUGCACCAGAGUGGCUGGGAAGCAGAGAGCAAUGCUACUCAGACAGGAAAAAAUGUAACGUGCAUGCACACCCACUGGCAAGCACCGCAGUAAUUCCUGCAUUUUGGUCAUGGAUGUAACAGUAGGUGUGGCUGUGCUGCUAGCAGCCAAUAAAGUGAGCUCAGGACAUCAUGACACCAAACUGUCUGUGCCACUUCUCACCACAGUACAGGCCAGAUCCCAGCAGCAGGUGAGGCAUCUAACGAGGGCAAAUACUGUUGACAGUGAGUCAAAGUGACAGACAGAUCACACUUUACAUCAGCAGCAAUCCCAAACCACAGAGCACCAGUCCUCCGCAACAACACCUUCAGUUUCACUCUGGUGUCAUCACCCUGCUUUCCCCUGAUCGCCUCACCUAAGCUCACCCCUCACCCUCUAUCGCUCCCACUUCUCCCUCCAAACUGAGGCACAACACACACAAAGAGUGGGGCCAAGGGGCGCGUUCAUGAAGAAGAGCGUUUUACACCAACAAUGUUCAAAUGUUCGUGAAUGUUCAAACGCUAAGACCCCCUGGGGCAACUCUCUAUUGAUCGUAUACGAUCAAUGCCUUUUGUUUCUUCUGUGUUUAAAAAGCAGUAUUAGGUAUACGCACUAGGUGGGAGACUAAUUAAACGUUCCAACAAAGAGAACGUGGAUUAAUCACUGGUCUGACCGCAGCUUCUCAUCAUGAAUACUUCAUCUAAAGUAGUUUGUAUUCAUAAAAUCAUCCUAAUGACCUCAACUGGCUUCACUCUGCAGUAAUGGGAGCCUCUGGGCGUCUGUUUCAUUUUCUGCUUUAGUAUUUGUGUGUUUGUUUGCAGCAGCUUCAUUCUAUUGUAUACAGUUGAGUCAAAAAUUUCCAUACCCAUGCCAAAAUAAGAUUUGUACAGAAGUUAUAUUUGACCAAUAGGUUUGUAUGGAUAGAAAUAAGAUUUUUACUAAAAAUAAAAUGUCCAAAAUUAUAAUAAAUGCUAACAAUCUUUCUUCAUGUGUAAACUGAGAUUUUGUUACACUCUUCUCUGUGAGGACCUGCAGGUCUUUAAGGUUGGAAGGCCUUCUUACUAUCACUCUGGUCUUCAGUUCCCUCCCCAGAUUCUUGGCUAGAUUCAAGUCUGGACUCUGGGUUGCUUCAAAAAUGUUGAUACUGUUUUCUGUUAACCAAUACUUUACAACCGCUGUAGGCUUGGGAUCACUGGAAGAUCCAAUGAUGCCCCUGACCAAGUUUUUCUGCAGACUUCCUGAUGUUUUCUUGCAGAAUCCUAAUGUUGUCUGUUUCUCAUGGGACUGUUUUCUUGACAAAGUUAUCUGGUGAACUGGCUGAAAACAGCCUCAAAGUAUUACAUUCACAGCACCAUGUUUGACUGUGGGGAUAUAGUUCUUGGGGUUGAAUACUUCUCCUUUGUUUUCCCAAAUGAUAGCCACAUCUCUGUGUUCAAACAAUAAUUUUUGCCUCAUCUAUGCACAGAACUGAUGACCAAAAGCUUUAUUCCUUGUCCGGGUGAGUUUUGUGUAUUUUAUUGCCUUGUGUCUUGAUGCAAAUACUUAAUUUAUAUCUAUAUUGAACAUUUUAUUAUAUCUACAGUAUGGCAUAGUAAUGUAAGACAAUAAAAACAGAGUAUCCAUCACCUUCUCUGGCUUCAUGGUGGGUAGUGGCAACAAACCUGUUUAAAACAACCUGAGCACAAGAGGUGACAUAUUGUGCAACAUGACACAUCCAAUCAAAGCUUAUGCAUGCAAGUAUAGGAUUUUGUGAGACUUCACAUCUUUGAACUUUUGCAGUGGCGGAUUUUUAAAAAACUAACAAAAAAAAAAAUAAGAUAAAAUAAACAGGCUUCCAUGCAACUUUCUACAACAAAUCUGCCAUCUUCCCUGUCUAAUUGUUGCCAACUCUUGAAACUACUGACUAUUUAUAAAGAUGGACAAACCCUCCAUGACAUCACCCAAAGGUUUCCUUAUCAACGGUUUGGACGUUCAGUGUUGUGACUCCAGCUGUUACUAUCUUGGCAGUUCCUGACUCCUCCUGACUCCCAGCUAAUCCAAAAAAUGGGUAAAAAGGUGCAGCGUGAGUAAAGCUGAGGCGUGUCAUGGAGUGUCCUAUAGCAGGACUCGUUCGCACGAAAUACUAAUUUGUGGCCACGAAGUAGGUAUAACGUGCGCACGAAAUACUACCUAAUACUAUUAAUAUCAUUCCUGGACAGCUGGGUGAGCAAAUCGGGCGCACCUCAACUGGGUAAGCAAAUCGAGCGCACCUUCUCUAGGGUCUAAGGUAGAGGCAUUAGAGGAGCAAAAGCGACACGAUGGACAGGGACAGUGUGAUAGAAUUUUAUUUUCGGCUGGGAAUGAGCUACAAAGACAUUCUGAAAAGCCUGGCAUUGCAAGGGACCAUCAUUACUGAGAGACAUUUGAACAGGAUAUUGAGAGUAGGGUUGCCUCCUGUCCCUUAAAAUACGGAAACGUCCUUUAUUUGACAAUUAAUCGUUGCGUCCCGUAUUGAAUCAAUACGGGACGCAAGUUGUUCCGUAUUUUCCUAAAUGCCCCAUACACGUCUGUCACACACUCAUCAAAACUGCAUAAUGAAUAAAAUAAAACACAGGAAAUAUUAAGGGCAGCCAAUUCCAUCUUCGUAGGACCCAUGUAGCGAGGACCCGAUGCCAGGACCGGUGGACAGACUUCAGACGUCUCUGUGUGUCCGGUCCUGUCCGGUCCUGUCUCUGGUUGCCAGGUUACAGACGCUGCUGCACCCGCACGUUUAAAAAUGUCUACACCUGAAACUCCACCACGUCUAAAGAAGCAAAAACGUUUGCAAAUGUACAGACUGGAGUAGGAAGAGUGGAACCCCUGGCGGUGGGUACAAGGCAAACUGUGUUUUCUGUUGCUCAUGGACUGGCUGAAGUAAGGCAGCAUCAGGAGACAAACAUGGAGGAAAUAUGAGAACAGAGAGAACCCAACCAGCAGGUCACAGUUUAUCAUCAUCUAAUCAUCUCCUGAAGUCGAUAUGGUCCCUCUCUAUCUCCCCACACAUCCACCAAUCACUGGAACACAUCUCCAAAGUUCUGCCGGGCCAGCUCAGCUUCCCCUCAGAAGAAGUUUCACCAGAUGAAGGAGCCUUUUGAGAGGCAGCUGGCAUCGUGAUUGGACUGUACUUUGGUCUGUUCCAAUCCAGCUUCAGCUCCAGAGACGGCAGGCGGGACGAGUCAACGGAGGCCAGGUGGACGAAGCCAUGCAGUUGAGUACAAUCCAGAAAACAACAGAGGAGGAGUGCAGCAGCCCAGAGCCAGAACAACCAGAGUAGCAUCGUAUGUCUGUUAGAAAACAUCAUAGUAUAGCCUUUGGUAUGAAAAAACGCCAUAAUGUACAUCAUAUAUUGUACACAUAAGUCAAAGGAAAGAGACAUACAUUGUAGAAUUGUAGUAAUUGUGGGCUGACUGAUUUACUGAUUAUCAGUAUUUUAUUUUUUACGGUAAUAAAUAUGUUUUAAAAUGG